GGAGGGGUGGCCGAGCGGCUUAAGGCAGCGGUCUUGAAAACCGCCGACGGGAAACUGUCCGAGAGUUCGAAUCUCUCCUCCUCCGCCA
rnacentral:tRNA from 1 species